rnacentral:rRNA from 1 species
AGUGUAGGCGGCUAUUUAAGUCGGAUGUGAAAGCCCCGGGCUCAACCUGGGAAUUGCAUUCGAAACUGGGUAGCUAGAGUUUGGUAGAGGUAAGUGGGAUUCCAGGUGUAGCGGUGAAAUGCGUAGAUAUCUGGAGGAACAUCAGUGGCGAAGGCGGCUUACUGGACCAAAAUUGACGCUGAGGCUCGAAAGCGUGGGGAGCAAACAGGAUUAGAUACCCUGGUAGUCC